rnacentral:rRNA from 1 species
GUCGAGAAUUUUUCUCAAUGGGGGAAACCCUGAAGGAGCGACGCCGCGUGGAGGAUGAAGGCUUUCGGGUUGUAAACUCCUGUCAUUUGAGAACAAGUGCCAACAAGUAACUACUGUUGGCUUGAUAGUAUCAGAAGAGGAAGGGACGGCUAACUCUGUGCCAGCAGCCGCGGUAAUACAGAGGUCCCAAGCGUUGUUCGGAUUCAUUGGGCGUAAAGGGUGCGUAGGUGGCGCCGUAAGUCGGGUGUGAAAUUUCGGAGCUUAACUCCGAAACUGCAUUCGAUACUGCGGUGCUUGAGGACUGGAGAGGAGACUGGAAUUCAUGGUGUAGCAGUGAAAUGCGUAGAGAUCAUGAGGAAGACCAGUGGCGAAGGCGGGUCUCUGGACAGUUCCUGACACUGAGGCACGAAGGCCAGGGGAGCAAACGGGAUUAGAAACCCUUGUAGUCC